rnacentral:rRNA from 1 species
GACGAACGCUGGCGGCGUGCUUAAUACAUGCAAGUCGAACGGAAAGGCCCUGCUUUUGUGGGGUGCUCGAGUGGCGAACGGGUGAGUAACACGUGAGUAACCUGCCCUUGACUUUGGGAUAACUUCAGGAAACUGGGGCUAAUACCGGAUAGGAGCUCCUGCUGCAUGGUGGGGGUUGGAAAGUUUCGGCGGUUGGGGAUGGACUCGCGGCUUAUCAGCUUGUUGGUGGGGUAGUGGCGUACCAAGGCUUUGACGGGUAGCCGGCCUGAGAGGGUGAACGGCCACCAUAGGCCUGAGAGACGGAGCAGUCGCCUACGGGAGGCAGCAGGGGGAAAUAUUGCGCAAUGGGCGGAAGCCAGAUGCAACGACGCCGCGUGCGGAAUGACGGCUUUCGGGGUGUAAACCGCUUUCGCCUGUGACGAAGCGUGAGUGACGGUAAUGGGUAAAGAAGCACCGGCUAACUACGUG